ACACGGGGAGGUAGUGACAAUAAAUACUGAUACAGGGCUCUUUUGGGUCUUGUAAUCGGAAUGAGUACAAUUUAAAUCCCUUAACGAGGAACAAUUGGAGGGCAAGUCUGGUGCCAGCAGCCGCGGUAAUUCCAGCUCCAAUAGCGUAUAUUAAAGUUGUUGUGGUUAAAAAGCUCGUAGUUGAACCUUGGGCCUGGCUGGCCGGUCCCCCUCACCGGGUGCACUGAUCCAGCCGGGCUUUCCCCCCUGUGAACCCCCAUGCCCUUCACUGGCUGUGGC
rnacentral:rRNA from 1 species